CACGUAGUUGGCCGGACCUUCUUCUGCAGGUACCGUCACUCUCGCUUCGUCCCUGCUGAAAGCGGUUUACAACCCGAAGGCCUUCGUCCCGCACGCGGCGUCGCUGUCUCAGGCUUGCGCCCAUUGGACAAGAUUCCCUA
rnacentral:rRNA from 1 species